rnacentral:lncRNA from 1 species
CCCGGGGCUCGGUCUCCUUGCUGAAUAGUCGGGCCGGCUUUCCUGGUAGACGGGGCUCGGGCCGGUCAAGUGUGGCACCAGCAGCAAGACGGACGAGGCUCCUGUCCGGCCUCGGGGACUUCCGCUCCCUGGACAUUCCUGGUCAUCUCUCCUAGCACGUGCCGCAUCCAGACGUGGCCCCUGGGUCGGCCCACCCUGCCUAGAUCCCACUAGCACAGGGACCAGGCAUCCUGGCCAGACCCUGCUGUUGGCACGAGCUUAUCGGGAACGUGGCUGGACUCUCGCAGAGGAGGGGACAGCCAGCCCUCCACACAGGCCUCUGCUUUUGUGUUUGGGAUGAUUGCUUGUAAAAGGACCAAAAACUUGGCUGGGCCUUUCCUUAAAACUCAUGAAAAGCCGUGAGUUUUUACAAGACCCACAUGCAUCGAGUGUCUGAGACCGCAGUUUACCUCAAAUGCACCCCAUUGACUUCUGCCGGCACGGUUUCUUCCUUUUCUGUUCUUCACACUGGGGAUGUGCCGCCCCCCCCCCCCCCCCCCCCCCAAGCCCUGCCCGGUCUCUGAGGGCAUGGCUGAUGCCGUAGUGAUCCCUGCUGCUGCUCCCGGGCACCUCUGCCAGACUCUGCUCCCUCACAUGCUUGGCCGGAGAGCCUGCCAUGCUUCUCUUCAGGUUGAGGAGAACUUUCUUUCUCGCUAGUGUGCCGCUUGGCCACAGAGUCCUGGCCACGUGCUCAGCGGCCACGGUGGCCUCCUCCGUGUCUGUGGUUCUCUCGUCGCUGCAGCUCAAGUGGCCUCCGGGAGCUUCAAAUUACAUGGUCUGCUGCGUGACCGUCACCUCGUGGCAUUCAUUCAGAACUCCUGCCAGGCGUGCCCCUGGUGGUGUGCAACUCCAAGCAAACAAGGAUACCCAAAUCAGAGGAAAUCAGUUAUUCUCCAUGAGCUCCUACUUCUGCACCCUGAGUCAGUGCCUUAGGAAAGGAGUCACCACACCUUCCCCAAGGGAAAGUCUUUCACACUUUGAGUGGCUCUUUGUGGUGGGGCAGGAAUGGGGCCAGUUUUAG